AUGGCGGUAGCGGCGGCGCAGCUCCGUGGAUCGUCCACGGUCGCUCGGAGGCAUGGAGUCUUCAGAGUCCCCUCCUCCUGCCGGUGGCCACGUCACCCUUUCGCUGGUUCACUAAAGCUUUCAGUUUCUACCAGUGGAGUGGGUGGGAAGCCGUUUGGUUUUGGUGCCAAAAUUGCAACAAAAUGUGCAAAUGAGAACACUCGGGCUGAAGAGUUGAACUCGAGAUCAGAUCAAGCAGGCGAACUUGUAGAAGCAGUUGAAGACGUGACUCCCCAAAAGAGGAGUGCUAAAAUCCAUGAUUUUUGUUUUGGGAUUCCUUUCGGUGGUCUUUUGUUCUGCAUGGGGCUUCUAGGCUACUUCUUCUCUAGGAGUACUGUAAGUCUUGUCCUAGGUGUUGCACCUGGGCUUGCUACGCUCCUUCUUGGUACCCUCAGUUUAAACUUCUGGAGGAGUGGAAGAUCCAGCUUCCUGUUUAUAUUGGGCCAAGCAGCAAUUUCUGCUGUCCUUGCAUGGAAGUAUUCCCAUGCAUACUUACUGACAAAUAGAAUUCUUCCUUGGGGCUUCUACGCUUCACUGAGCACUGCGAUGGCUUGUUUCUAUGCGUACGUGCUGCUUGCUGGAGGAAAUCCACCGCCCAAGAAGUUGGCGCCGGCACCAUCAUCAUAG
rnacentral:rRNA from 1 species